GAUGAACGCUGGCGGCGUGCCUAAUACAUGCAAGUCGAGCGAACAGAUGAGGAGCUUGCUCCUCUGACGUUAGCGGCGGACGGGUGGGUAACACGUGGAUAACCUACCUAUAAGACUGGGAUAACUUCGGGAAACCGGAGCUAUACCGGAUAAUAUAUUGAACCGCAUGGUUCAAUAGUGAAAGACGGUUUUGCUGUCACUUAUAGAUGGAUCCGCGCCGCAUUAGCUAGUUGGUAAGGUAACGGCUUACCAAGGCAACGAUGCGUAGCCGACCUGAGAGGGUGAUCGGCCACACUGGAACUGAGACACGGUCCAGCCUCCUACGGGAGGCAGCAGUAGGGAAUCUUCCGCAAUGGGCGAAAGCCUGACGGAGCAACGCCGCGUGAGUGAUGAAGGUCUUCGGAUCGUAAAACUCUGUUAUUAGGGAAGAACAAAUGUGUAAGUAACUAUGCACGUCUUGACGGUACCUAAUCAGAAAGCCACGGCUAACUACGUG
rnacentral:rRNA from 1 species